rnacentral:rRNA from 1 species
UACGGGGGGGGCAAGCGUUGUUCGGAAUUACUGGGCGUAAAGGGCUCGUAAGUGGCCAACUAAGUCGGACGUGAAAUCCCUCAGCUUAACUGGGGAACUGCGUCCGAUACUGGAUGGCUCGAGUUUGGGAGAGGGGUGCGGAAUUCCAGGUGUAGCGGUGAAAUGCGUAGAUAUCUGGAGGAACACCGGUGGCGAAGGCGACAUCCUGGACCGGUAUUGACGCUGAGGCGCGAAAGCCAGGGGAGCAAACGGG